UACGCAGGCGGCUAUGUAAGACAGGUGUGAAAUCCCCGGGCCUAACCUGGGAACUGCAUUUGUGACUGCAUAGCUAGAGUCCGUCAGAGGGGGGUGGAAUUCCACGUGUAGCAGUGAAAUGCGUAGAGAUGUGGAGGAACACCGAUGGCGAAGGCAGCCCCCUGGGAUGAGACUGACGCUCAUGUACGAAAGCGUGGGAGCAAACA
rnacentral:rRNA from 1 species